rnacentral:rRNA from 1 species
AUGCGGCUUCUCUGUCGCCGCCGAGGAGGAGACAUCGAUCGCCCUGUCGUCACUGGUCGUGGUGGUCGUCGAGGCGUUCUUGCUUCCGUCCGAGGACACCGGCAUCAAAUUCUCGCCGCCUGGGCUCGUGAUCAUCUCCAUGGCGUCAAACGGCGCCACUCCGAGGUGCAAGAACGGCAGGUACUGGACGGCCAUGUCGUCGUUCUCUUUGGCCGUGUUGAGGUCAGGGAACUCGAUACCCAAGUAGUCCACCGGCGGCGCCGGCGGCUCAAGGAUGACCACCUCCGACGUGAUCGACGGCCCCGUCGCGGCGCGAUCCGAUGGCUCCGUGAUGCACGCGUCGCCGCGGCCGGAGCGGAGGGCGAGGGAGAGGCUUACGGUGCCAGCGGGCGAGUGGGUGAGAUCCGUGGACGACAGGGAGAACUCCCGCCGCUCCAGCCGCGCGCCGUCGGCGGCCGCGACUUGGGCGAGCGGCACGAGCGCGAACCCGAGGAGCUGAUCCUCGAGGAGGCUCUCGGCGCAGCUGCGCAUCCACACCUCGCACUUGAGCGCGUCGGUGCCGAGCCUGCCCCGGCGGACUCGCAGCGGCGGGAGGCGCUCGUCGAAGCGCGGGCUGGCGCCGCCCCCGGCGGCCACGCGCGUGGAGAGCGCCGGCGCGUGGGCCGGGCUGGACGUGAGCGAGAAGCGCGCGUACACGUCCUGGUCGGCGUAGAUGCAGAUGUUGUGGAUGCCGCGCGCGCCGUGCACGUACACGUCCAAGAAGCACCCGCCGCCACUCUCCUCGCCGUCGUCCUCCUCCAACCCUCCGCCGCCCCCGACAUGAUCCGGCACGUACCGGAAUCUGGCAGGCUCCAUUACCGAUGGACUCGCCGGAACGGAACCGAUUGA